CACGGACCAAGGAGUUUAUCGUGUGCGCAAGUCAUUGGGUGUUGAAAACUCAAAGGCGCAAUGAAAGUAAAGAAUCCGCAAGGAUACGACGUGUGAUCUGAGCAAUCACGAUUGCCUGGAGCAACAUGGCCCCAUUCUGGUCGCUUGCGACGGGGUGGAGGAAGAGCGUACGCGGUGAGACCCGAAAGAUGGUGAACUAUUCCUGAGCAGGAUGAAGCCAGAGGAAACUCUGGUGGAAGUCCGAAGCGAUUCUGACGUGCAAAUCGAUCGUCUGACUUGGGUAUAGGGGCGAAAGACUAAUCGAACCAUCUAGUAGCUGGUUCCUUCCGAA
rnacentral:rRNA from 1 species